rnacentral:rRNA from 1 species
CAGCAGCCGCGGGAAUACGUAGGGUGCGAGCGUUAAUCGGAAUUACUGGGCGUAAAGCGUGCGCAGGCGGUUAUAUAAGACAGAUGUGAAAUCCCCCGGGCUUAACCUGGGACCUGCAUUUGUGACUGUAUAGCUAGAGUACGGUAGAGGGGGAUGGAAUUCCGUGUGUAGCAGUGAAAUGCGUAGAUAUGCGGAGGAACACCGAUGGCGAAGGCAAUCCCCUGGACCUGUACUGACGCUCAUGCACGAAAGCGUGGGGAGCAAACAGGAUUAGAUACCCGCGUAGUCCCUGUCUCUUAUA